GCCUGGCUGGCUCAGUUGGAGGGGCAUGCGACUCUUGACCUCAGGGUUGUGAGUUCGAGCCCCACGUUGGGCA
rnacentral:tRNA from 1 species